AAGUCAAGUACACAAAAAAUGCAUACGUCAUUUUUACUUUCGCUUUUAACUUGCAGCCGAGCUAUCGACAAUCAUUCAUUUGAAAGUGAUCAGGCUAUGUGUAAAUAUCUUCAAUGGCAGAAUCGGUAACAGGGUUUAGAUUAGAAAGUAGAGACGAAAAGUGUAUACGAGGUUGGGUUUUGUCAGAGGAAAUCCUUCAGCAAUUCAUUGAACAGUUGAAGUACUUUCAAUCAGCACGGGAUGUCAAUAUGUGUCGUGGUCAAUAUAUACCAGAUACCACACUUGUACAGUUCUGGAGAAUAACAUACUAAUGAGAAGCUGUUGAGAGAAUAUCCAGUUUUAGGCAUGCACAUCUUAAAUCAAUGUCUUAAUGAAGAAGGCCAUAUAUUCCUUGGUCUGUGUUUGGGAACUGGAAUGCCAAUUAAUAGAAGAGGCAGAGAAAAGAUCAGUCAACAAACAGAAAUGUCUAUGAAGAAGGCCAAAAGAAAACAAAACAAUUGAAAUGCAUACAUGUAUUGCAUGCUGGUAUUACUGUAUAAGUACUAAUUAUCUGCAAUCUUAAUGUCACAUUUAAUGCAUUGCUGAUGCAUGUAGUUACAAUAAACAUAACUGGUGUUAUAUUUGAAAUUUAAGAAUUUGUUUAAUUGUUACCAUAUGUGCAAGUUAAAGUGAAUUCUAUUUAACUAUAAAUUUUAAAGAAUUUAAAUGACAAUUAAUCGGUAAUCAUUUCUUAUAUAUUUUUGGGUCACCUGAGUUACUCAGGUGACCUAUUGCUAUCUCUUUUCGUCCGUCGCUGUGCGGCGUGUCAUCCAUCGGUCGUAAACUUUUGAACAUUUUCAGCUUCUUCUCUGGAACCAGUGAACCAAUUUCAACCAAUUUUGGCAUAUAGCAUCUAUGGAUGAAGGGGAACAAAAAUUGUGAAAUUUGUGGCUCCUGCCCCCCUGGGGCCUGAGGGGUGGAGCCAAAACCAUCAAAAUUAAUGCAAUCUUUAAAAAUCUCCUUUACUCCUGGGUAUUAUUUAAACAAAUUAAAUACAUAGUUAUGAUAAGCAAGGUUGCCUCUUCCAAAAUCGUGAAAUUCAUGGCCCCUGGAUCAGGGGUUCUGGUGUUAGGGUGGGGCUCUAUUGAUU